ACUGCUCAGUAACACGUAGUCAACAUGCCCAGGGGACGUGGAUAACCUCGGGAAACUGAGGAUAAACCGCGAUAGGCCAAGAUUUCUGGAAUGAAUCAUGGUUUAAAUCUAUAUGGCCCCUGGAUUGGACUGCGGCCGAUCAGGCUGUUGGUGAGGUAAUGGCCCACCAAACCUGUAACCGGUACGGGCUCUGAGAGGAGGAGCCCGGAGAUGGGCACUGAGACAAGGGCCCAGGCCCUAUGGGGCGCAGCAGGCGCGAAACCUCUGCAAUAGGCGAAAGCUUGACAGGGUUACUCUGAGUGAUUCCCGCUAAGGGAAUCUUUUGGCAUCUCUAAAAACGAUGUAGAAUAAGGGGUGGGCAAGUCUGGUGUCAGCCGCCGCGGUAAUACCAGCACCCCGAGUGGUCGGGACGAUUAUUGGGCCUAAAGCAUCCGUAGCCGGUCUUGCAAGUCUUCCGUUAAAUCCACCUGCUUAACAGAUGGGCUGCGGAAGAUACUACAAGACUAGGAGGCGGGAGAGGCAAGCGGUACUCAGUGGGUAGGGGUAAAAUCCUCUGAUCCAUUGAAGACCACCAGUGGCGAAGGCGGCUUGCCAGAACGCGCUCGACGGUGAGGGAUGAAAGCUGGGGGAGCAAACCGGAUUAGAUACCCGGGUAGUCCCAGCUGUAAACGAUGCAGACUCGGUGAUGGGCCGGCUUCAUGCCGGCUCAGUGCCGCAGGGAAGCCGUUAAGUCUGCCGCCUGGGGAGUACGGUCGCAAGACUGAAACUUAAAGGAAUUGGCGGGGGAGCA
rnacentral:rRNA from 1 species